rnacentral:rRNA from 1 species
CACGUAGGCACCAAGCGUUAUCCGGAUUUAUUGGGCGUAAAGAGCUCGUAGGCGGUUCGGUAAGUCGGGUGUGAAAACUCUGGGCUCAACCCAGAGAGGCCACCCGAUACUGCUGUGACUAGAGUGCGGUAGGGGAGCGGGGAAUUCCUGGUGUAGCGGUGAAAUGCGCAGAUAUCAGGAGGAACACCGGUGGCGAAGGCGGGUCUCUGGGCCGAUACUGACGCUGAGGAGCGAAAGCGUGGGGAGCGAACAGG